GUGCGAGGACGACCUCCCCCACUUGGGUUUUUGAUUGGGACGACCCAA
rnacentral:ncRNA from 1 species